UAGGGAAUAUUAGUAAUGGGCGCAAGCCUGAACUAGCAACGCCGCGUGUGCGAAGAGGGCCUUCGGGUUGUAAAGCACUUUUUGAGAGGAUGAGGAAGGACGGUACUCUCAGAAUAAGUCUCGGCUAACUACGUGCCAGCAGCCGCGGUAACACGUAGGAGGCGAACGUUAUCCGGAUUUACUGGGCGUAAAGCGCGUGUAGGUGGUUUGGUAAGUAGGGCGUGAAAGCUCCUGGCUCAACUGCGAGAGGCCGUUCUAAACUGCCGAACUAGAGGAUGGUAGAGGGAGGUGGAAUUCCGGGUGUAGCGGUGGAAUGCGCAGAUAUCCGGAGGAACACCAGUGGCGAAAGCGGCCUCCUGGACCAUUCCUGACACUCAGACGCGAAAGCUAGGGUAGCAAACGG
rnacentral:rRNA from 1 species